UUGUGUGUUGUGCCAUUAAAGAUUGUUGUC
rnacentral:piRNA from 2 species